rnacentral:rRNA from 1 species
CCUACGGGAGGCAGCAGUGGGGAAUAUUGGACAAUGGGGAGAACCCUGAUCCAGCCAUGCCGCGUGUGUGAAGAAGGCCCUCGGGUUGUAAAGCACUUUCAGUGAGGAAGAACGCCUGGUGGUUAAUACCCAUCAGGAAAGACAUCACUCACAGAAGAAGCACCGGCUAACUCCGUGCCAGCAGCCGCGGUAAUACGGAGGGUGCGAGCGUUAAUCGGAAUUACUGGGCGUAAAGCGCGCGUAGGUGGCUUGAUAAGCCGGUUGUGAAAGCCCCGGGCUCAACCUGGGAACGGCAUCCGGAACUGUCAAGCUAGAGUGCAGGAGAGGAAGGUAGAAUUCCCGGUGUAGCGGUGAAAUGCGUAGAGAUCGGGAGGAAUACCAGUGGCGAAGGCGGCCUUCUGGACUGACACUGACACUGAGGUGCGAAAGCGUGGGUAGCAAACAGGAUUAGAUACCCCGGUAGUC